rnacentral:tRNA from 1 species
AGAAAUUUAGGUUAAUUAAGACCAAGGGCCUUCAAAGCCCUUAGUAAGUGCUUAUACUUAAUUUCUG